rnacentral:rRNA from 1 species
CGUGGGGAGCAAACAGGAUUAGAUACCCUGGUAGUCCACGCCCUAAACGAUGAUCAUUAGUUGAUGGGGAACUCAUCGACGCAGCUAACGCAUUAAAUGAUCCGCCUGAGUAGUACGUUCGCAAGAAUAAAACUUAAAGGAAUUGACGGGGAUCCGCACAAGCGGUGGAGCAUGUGGUUUAAUUUGAUGUUACGCGUAGAACCUUACCCACUCUUGACAUCUUCUGCAAAGCUAUAGAGACAUAGUGGAGGUUAACAGAAUGACAGAUGGUGCAUGGUUGUCGUCAGCUCGUGUCGUGAGAUGUUCGGUUAAGUCCUGCAACGAGCGCAACCCUUAUCCUUAGUUACUACCAUUUAGUUGAGCACUCUAAGGAGACUGCCCGAGUAAUCGGGAGGAAGGUGGGGACGAAGUCAAAUCAUCAUGCCUCUUACGAGUGGGGCUACACACGUGCUACAAUGGACGGUACAAAGAGAAGCGAAGUGGUGACAU